rnacentral:rRNA from 1 species
UACGGAGGGGGCUAGCGUUGUUCGGAAUUACUGGGCGUAAAGCGCACGUAGGCGGCUUUGCAAGUCAGAGGUGAAAGCCCGGGGCUCAACCCCGGAAUUGCCUUUGAGACUGCAUCGCUAGAAUUGUGGAGAGGUAAGUGGAAUUCCGAGUGUAGAGGUGAAAUUCGUAGAUAUUCGGAAGAACACCAGUGGCGAAGGCGACUUACUGGACACAUAUUGACGCUGAGGUGCGAAAGCGUGGGAGCAACAGG